rnacentral:misc_RNA from 1 species
CUGCCGAUGGCGCUUUAUUUAUCUAAUUUGUUUUAAAAUCACAUUUCUUUGUGGCGAAAUAGUAUUUUGCACAGUAUCUACAUAUAGGUAUCCGGUUUGGUGCGAUAUAUGCGAUGUUGGUCUGAGGCGGCGCGGCAUGGCGCAGCUCGGGCGGUUCCCGCUGUUCCGGCUCGGCACGCUGCUGGCGCGCCAGCUCAGCGUGCCCGUCGCACAACGGAUCAAGAGGUACGCGGUGCACAGCCCCGUGGUGCGGCGCGGCGUGCGGCGCGCGGGGCGCUGCUUCCACGCGGCCGAGCUGCGCUUCCGGCUGUGGUCGCUGGCGCUGCGGCCGCCGCGCGACCUGCCCUCCAUCUCCGACCAGGCCGCGCUCGACACCGGCGCCAACAUCCUCGGUGAAGCAGCAGUAUUCGCCUUGGGUGGUCUUAUCGUUGUUCUGGAAGUAAACAGACAAGCGAUCAAGCAGGAGGACAAGGUGCUGGAGGAGGAGUCGCGCUGGCUGGCGCUGCGGCUGUCGCUGGAGGAGCUGCGCCGCGAGCUGGCGCUGCAGCAGCAGGAUAUCGACCGGCUGUUCGCCACGCUGCGCCGCCUCGCGCCAGACCAGACCCCGCCGGCGACGCCACACGGACCUCCAGAGCUUCAGCCGCGAUCCAAGGCCGAGGGCAUUCCACCUCCAAAGUCACAGUGUGAUUAACCGUCCAGUUCACGGUGAAAUCCACAGCGAAGACAGAAUGCAUUGGGCCCCCAACAGCUUUAUCUCAAGGACCAUCAUUUGCCGGUGUUCGUUAAAUGCGAGUAAUUGCUGUGUUGGCGAGCAGGCGUGUCGCGAUUGGGCACGGGCGGCGCGGCGGCCGGCACAGCGCCGCAGCAUGUGUCGCGCGGCGGGAGUGCUGCUCGCGCUCGCCUCGUGCGCCGC